UCGACCUUACGUUGCCAGCAUUCAGUUGGGCACUCUAAGGUGACUGCCGGCGUAAAAGUACGGAGGAAGGUGGGGAGUGACGUCAAAUCAUCAUGCCCCUUAUGACCUGGGCUACACACGUGCUACAAUGGGCGGUACAAAGGGUCGCGAACCCGCGAGGGGAGCCAAUCCCAAAAAGCCGCUCUCAGUUCGGAUUGCAGGCUGCAACUCGCCUGCAUGAAGCCGGAAUCGCUAGUAGUCGCGGAUCAGCAUGCCGCGGUGAAUACGUUCCCGGGCCUU
rnacentral:rRNA from 1 species